rnacentral:tRNA from 1 species
GGACAAGUGGGUGAGUGGCUGAAACCGCACCCCUGCUAAGGGUGUGUAUCUUUACGGGUACCGAGGGUUCAAAUCCCUCCUUGUCCG